rnacentral:rRNA from 1 species
CGAGUUCCUCGCUAAUGUUCGGAUUUGUUUACCAAUGAUGCAAGUAAUUUAGUCAGAGUAACAAAGUAACGACUAGUUGUUUAAGUUAAAAGGUAGAUUUAAAUUCCGGAUAUGAGCGAGGAAUGUCGGCGAGCGGCGGACGGCUGAGUAGCGCGUAGGAACAUACCCCAAAGUGAGGCAUAACCGCCCGAAAGGGUGGCUAAUACCGCAUAUUGUCUUCGGAUGAAAGCUUUUAGCGCUUUGGGAAUGGCCUGCGUUUGAUUAGCUAGUUGGUGAGGUAAGGGCUUACCAAGGCGAUGAUCAAUAGCUGGUUUGAGAGAAUGAUCAGCCAGACUGGAACUGAGACACGGUCCAGACUCCUACGGGAGGCAGCAGUUGGGAAUUUUCCACAAUGGGCGAAAGCCUGAUGGAGCAACGCCGCGUGCAGGAAGAAUGCCUUCGGGUUGUAAACUGCUUUUAUGUGCGAAGAAUAUGACGGUAGCAUAUGAAUAAGGGUCGGCUAACUACGUG